rnacentral:rRNA from 1 species
AUUGAACGCUGGCGGCAUGCCUUACACAUGCAAGUCGAACGGCAGCACGGGUGCUUGCACCUGGUGGCGAGUGGCGAACGGGUGAGUAAUACAUCGGAACAUGUCCUGUAGUGGGGGAUAGCCCGGCGAAAGCCGGAUUAAUACCGCAUACGAUCUACGGAUGAAAGCGGGGGACCCUCGGGCCUCGCGCUAUAGGGUUGGCCGAUGGCUGAUUAGCUAGUUGGUGGGGUAAAGGCCAACCAAGGCGACGAUCAGUAGCUGGUCUGAGAGGACGACCAGCCACACUGGGACUGAGACACGGCCCAGACUCCUACGGGAGGCAGCAGUGGGGAAUUUUGGACAAUGGGCGAAAGCCUGAUCCAGCAAUGCCGCGUGUGUGAAGAAGGCCUUCGGGUUGUAAAGCACUUUUGUCCGGAAAGAAAUCCUUGGCCCUAAUACGGUCGGGGGAUGACGGUACCGGAAGAAUAAGCACCGGCUAACUACGUG